GAGUCAGUGGUGAGAACUCAUACUGUCUCGAAGAAAUAUGAUGACUUAAAAUUCAUGCUCAAUAAGAUUAUGCUGAAGUCC
ensembl:snoRNA SNORD115 Small nucleolar RNA SNORD115